UUAAAUCCCAAAGGCUGGAGGACAGCUAACCCACACGCCUACCCUCCUGCAGUGAGGACCAAGAGUGCUCAGGCUGGGAGAGGAGCACCACACACCCCGACACCUUCCCCCUCUGCCCCAGAGGAGGUUUGCCCAGAGGAGAGAACAAAAGGAGGAGGAGGUGCCACCAGCUGAAUGACUUGGCUUUGCACCUGGCUGCAUCUUCCACCCACCUCACUUACCCUUGAAGAUGUGGGUGGCCCAGCGACACUGGAGCUCUGAGAUGGGCAUGAUGGCUCCCAGGGGCUGGAUGAAGCCGAUGAAAGCCAGCGUGGGCUUCUCCAGGUCGACAGGGAACAUGAAUUUGUAGAGAGGGGCCUGGUUCUCCACCACCUUCACGCACUCCUCGAGGAAGGGGAAGGAGAAGCUGUACCCCGUGGCAAAGACCACGGCGUCAAUGUCUUCCCUGGUGCCGUCCUCGAAGAUGGCAGAUGUCUCCGUGAACUCCUGGAUGUUGGGCUUCACCCGCACCCUGCCCGAAAUGAUGCGGUUGGGCAGGUCGUCGUUGAUGGUCGCAUGCUGACUGAGGGCCCUGGAGGACACAAACAGAGCUCGUGGGGCCAGGCUGGGGACACCAGCAGGUCCCCGCGGCACUGCCUGGGUGCUCACCGGUGCUGGGGCUGCAGGCCGUAGAGCGAGUGGUCAAAGCGGGCGUUGAGCUUCCUCUCUAGCACAAAGUUGCUCACGGAGAGGGGCAGCAGGCUCCGGAUGAUCUGGAUGAAGCGGCUGAGGUAGGAGAAGUCGAAGGGGUAGCCACCUUCUGCCACCCGGUGCAUCACCCAGGCCCCGCGCUUGGUGCUGAGGAAGACCUGGGAGGAAGGAGAAAGGAGGCAGCGGUGUCGAGCCACGUCCCACUGCGGUCCCAUUCAGCUCCACCGCGAUAUCGAUGCCCGAAUUCCCGGUGCCGACCACCACGACCUGCUUCCCCGUGAAGGCCCGCGGGCUCUUGUAGUCCCGGCUGUGCAAGUACCAGCCCUCAAAACUCUCCAGCCCUGCAAGAAAAGAGCAAAGCCGUGCCGGGUGCGGGUGGCUUCAGGAGAGGAACUUAAUGGCCACGAGCAGCCCCACCUGGCCCCAAUCAUUCCUCACACCCCCAGCACUAUUUAAGCACUGCUCAGAGCCCUCACUCACUGCCUGCGGUGCCUGCGGCCUCGCCACCAUCAAUUUCCUGAUUAUCUGUGCUCUUGGCUCAUUUUACAAGGUACAGUGGGAUCAGCGCUGGCUGGCAGAGUCCCUGGCAGCUCUGCUGUUGCCCUCUACUCCCCCGCAAUGCCUUCCUCCUGAGAGGGCAGAAAGGGAUUGCUGAAGCCCUGUUCCUUGCCUGCCGCCCAGUGGAAGGAGCAGCCUCACCUUCAGGAGGGUUUUGGGGAACGCAGGCGGGGAUCUGAGCAGCCCUGGGCUGGGUGAGGGUCACGGCUUUCCCCUAACCCCCCAGCGAGGCGAUUCCCGCAGCAAGGGGGAAUGUUUUAAGGCCCCAGGAGAGGGUGAGGCAGGAGCUGGACUCCUGGUGGUCCUCUCCUGCCAAGAAAAACUGGAAGAAAAGGUUGCCAGGAUGAAUGAUGGCAGUGCAGGGGAGCCGUGGCAGUGGUACAGCUCCACGUUGUUGCCCCCGGGUGACUGAAAAUCCCGCGGAGGGGGGAAAAAAAUGGCCCAAACCCCUGGCUGCCCCCUUCCCUUCCCCGCAGCACUGGGAGCCAGGUGCCCGUGUCCCUGUUGGCCUUGGUGCAGCGCCUAAACCAGGGGUGAUAGGAAGGAGACGCAUUGCUCAGCAGGCAGAGCUCUUUAUAAACCCGAGGACAGGCCCCAGCAGCAGCAUCACCUGUAUUUACAGCGCACAGCUAACAUGGGCAGCUGCAGGGAAACCUCUGCGAAGCCCCAGCUAUUCCACCCACUGCUGGCUAACACAGCAGGUGCCCGGCGAGGGCACCCUGAUUCACAGAUCAGCAGCGAGCUGCCAGGGGGUGCACUGACCCCUCCCCGGGCUCUGCGUUGUGCCUGGCAGCCCCGCAGCAGGGCGAGACAGCACCUACCCACAGGCCUGGGAGCCUGCAGCGUUGCUAGUGUGAAAUUUUGGCUGGAAAAUCUCAGUUCGAGUCCCGGUAGCCCCCUUUCUCUCUGUGCGUGUGUAUGGAGAGAACGGGGUGUGAGCCUCCUCCUCCGGGAGGCUCUCAGUGGGUCCAGAGAGCAAAGAGGGCAGGCGCGUUGAGCGGGGAGAGCCAGCAGUACUCCACCACGCUGUAGAGCCCGUAGCCCAGCAGCAAGCCGAAGAGCACGUCCGUCACGUUGUGCCUGCCCAGCAUCACCCUGGAGACGCCGACGACGAGGGCCCAGAGCACCACCAGCACCCGCAGCGGCACGGCGAGCACCAGGUGGUGCAGCACGAAGCGGCACACCAGGGCGGCGCGGGUGGCGUGGCCCGAGGGGAAGGAGUACUUGUCCACCGAGACGGUGACGAACAUGUCCAUCUUGUUGUGCGUGGGCCGCGGCCGCCGCACGAUGCCUUUCACCACCGCCACCAGCACCAGGUCCAGCAGCAAGGCUAGGAGGAGGAAGAGGAGGGAGAAAUUUAUUGGUGUAAAACCCAGCAUUCGCAGCUCAGGGCUCAAAUCCUGCCUUGUUUUGAAAGCCCCGGCAGGGUUAACAUUCCCUGCCUGCCUCUGCUGACUCAGCAGGGCUCUGCACGCCCUGCUUUGACCCAGGUAAAUGAUCAAUCCACCUCAGCUGCCCCUUGGUGUGAGGGGGGUGCCUGUGUCCUCGGUGGGUCUGGGGGCUUGCAGCUCCACAUCUGGCUUCUCCCUGCUGCUGGGGGCCCCAGUGUACAAGUUAAACACCCCGUUUUUAAGAGCUGAGUAAAGGGUGAACUAAACAACAGCAGCUUGCUCCCAGGAGUCUAAAGGCUGCUGUGGCAGAAGUCAGAGGUGAAGUGUCUGAGAAAUGCUCCGUCAGGACUUGGCAAGAGCAGCUGCUCGCACCAGGCAGCACUUUCGCUACCUCGGCCCAGCUCGUGGUGCUGGCAGGAGCUGCUUCUUCCAGGGAAAUCUUGUCUGAGAGACUGAUUUCUGCCCUACGGCCUGUGCCUGGGCACAAAGUCCUUCCUUCGGUCACUUUAGUUUACUCCCUUUGGUUAAUCAUUUAAGAACAAAUCUAAUUUGUGUUUUGUUUUGUUUUUUCUUAGAAGUAAACCUAGUUCAAUCACUUAUUUUGAGAGAUUCAGCUCAUUCCCCACAUGGGUGCUGCAGGACCCCAAGAUCAGUGCCUGCAGCGACCCCACGGGCACAGUGUUUGGAAACUGGAGCUGCCACCCAGGUGCCACAUGGACACAGGUUUUUGGAAGCCGGAGCAGCCACCCAGGUGCCGCAUGGGCACAAUGUCUGGAAGCCGGAGCAGCCACCCAGGUACUGCAGCUCCGGGCAGACGUGCCAGCUGCUGGGAACCAGACGGCUCCCCCCCGGGGCUGUGACACCCAGCUUUCCUCAGCCCUUCCCCAUCCCUCGGGCCCCAUCCUCCCGCCGUGGCGGCCCCCUCCCGGCCUCACCGAAGAGCAGGUUG